UGGAUUAGGCAUGCAAGUCGAGCGAUUCCCGCAAGGGAAUAGCGGCAAACGGGUGAGGAACACGUAAGUAAUCUUCCCUUUAACCGGACAUAGCCCUAUGAGAAUAGGGGUAAUAUCCGAUGAGAUCAUGAGAUUGCAUAAUUUUAUGUUCAAAGACGGGGCCCGCAAGCCCUGUCGUUAAGGGAUGAGCUUGCGUAGCAUCAGCUAGUUGGUAGGGUAAUGGCCUACCAAGGCUAAGACGCUUAGCUGGUCUGAGAGGAUGGUCAGCCACACUGGAACUGAGACACUGCCCAGACUCCUACGGGAGGCUGCAGUCGAGAAUCUUUAGCAAUGGGCGAAAGCCUGACUAUCCGACGCCGCGUGAGGGAUGAAGGUUUUCGGAUCGUAGCCU
rnacentral:rRNA from 1 species